rnacentral:sRNA from 1 species
GUUCUUCCGGUCAUACGGUUGGGUAGCAGGUAGGGCAGUGGGGGUCAGUCAGUGGUGUUCUUGUGGUGAUACAGCUGGGUAGUGGGUAGGGCAUGGAGAGUGGCUUGUGUUGGGCCUGCAAGGUCCUAGCGGACGUGCGGGUUGAUUGCAAAUUCCUAAUAGGAAAGAGCCAGGGUCAGGCGCAGGCCUGGCUUUAUCCCCACACCUGAGUAAGACGCUUUGGUUCUUAUCCCAGUCUCUCACCUGGCCAGCUUCCUGUUUUGAGUUUGAGCCAUGUCCCUGACUGACCCUCCCUCUAUUAAGAGGGAUUGGCCUGUUUUUGGAAGCUGGGCUGAGCCCAUGUCUCUUGACCGUAUAUAUUUCCAUGUCCAAGAGCUUAAAAAAGACUUACUUAGAUGCAAUAUAGGUAUGUCUUCCCCUUUAGGAAACAAAUAAUGUUGUCCUGGGAUGAGAGGAGAAGUCCUGGCUAACACUUGACCUAACUUGUGUCUUUCGCAGUGUCUUGGGACAAGGUGCGCAUUCCUGGUGUGCUGCAGCGCUUAGGAGUGACAUACUUUGUGGUUGCUGUGUUGGAGCUCCUCUUUGCUAAACCUGUGCCUGAACAUUGUGCCUCGGAGAGGAGCUGCCUUUCUCUUCGAGACAUCACGUCCAGUUGGCCCCAGUGGCUGCUCAUCCUGGUGCUGGAAGGCCUGUGGCUGGGCUUGACAUUCCUCCUGCCAGU